ACACACACACACAUUGAUCCACACUGACACAUUGAUCCAUACUGACACACACACAUUGAUCCACACUGACACACACACACAUACACAUUGAUCCAUACUGACACACACCCACAUUGAUCCACACUGACACACACACACACAUUGAUCCACACUGACACAUUGAUCCAUACUGACACACACACACACACACAUUGAUCCAUACUGACACACACACAC